ensembl:misc_RNA 7SK 7SK RNA
GGAUGUGAGGGCGAUCUGGCUGCAAUAUCUGUCACCCCAUUGAUCGCCAGGGUUGAUUUGGCUGAUCUGGCUGGCUAGGCGGGUGUCCCCUUCCUCCCUCAUGGCUCCAUAUGUGUCCCUCGGUGGAAGAGGACGGCCUUCCCCGAAUAGAGACGGACCGGUCUUCAGUCGAGGGUAUAUGAGUAGCUGCGCUCCCCUGCUGGAACCUCCAAACAAGCUCUCAAGGGCUUUAGUAUUUUAAAAAGAUCUAAAAUGAUCAUUUUUUAAAAGUUUUUCAUAAAUUUAAAAACAAUUUUCAAGA